GCCAGCAGCCAUAUCACCCUGCAAUUCACAACUCACAACUGGCAACCCACUGAAGCUAAGCAGGUGUGAGCCUGGUCAGUACCUGGAUGGGAGACCUCCUGGGAAAAACUAAGGCCGCUACUGGAA
rnacentral:rRNA from 1 species